rnacentral:rRNA from 1 species
GAAAGAUUUAUCGGAUUUGGAUCGGCCCGCGUUAGAUUAGAUAGUUGGUGGGGUAAUGGCCUACCAAGUCUACGAUCUAUAGCUGGUUUUAGAGGAUGAUCAGCAACACUGGGACUGAGACACGGCCCAGACUCCUACGGGAGGCAGCAGUGGGGAAUCUUGGACAAUGGGCGCAAGCCUGAUCCAGCCAUGCCGCGUGAGUGAUGAAGGCCUUAGGGUCGUAAAGCUCUUUCGCCAGAGAUGAUAAUGACAGUAUCUGGUAAAGAAACCCCGGCUAACUCCGUGCCAGCAGCCGCGGUAAUACGGAGGGGGUUAGCGUUGUUCGGAAUUACUGGGCGUAAAGCGUACGUAGGCGGAUUAGUCAGUCAGAGGUGAAAUCCCAGGGCUCAACCCUGGAACUGCCUUUGAUACUGCUAGUCUUGAGUUCGAGAGAGGUGAGUGGAAUUCCAAGUGUAGAGGUGAAAUUCGUAGAUAUUUGGAGGAACACCAGUGGCGAAGGCGGCUCACUGGCUCGAUACUGACGCUGAGGUACGAAAGUGUGGGGAGCAAACAGGAUUAGAUACCCUGGUAGUCCACACCGUAAACGAUGAAUGCCAGUCGUCGGGCAGUAUACUGUUCGGUGACACACCUAACCGGAUUAAGCAU